AAGACCUUACUCUUAGGGAUCAUUUCUAUAGUAAGUGUCGCCAGGACGUCAGGUAAAACUGACGAGACCUAAAACCACGAUGACGAGAAAGAGCAUUCCUUUCUGAGCGCGAAGCGGGCAAGGGCUGUUUCCUCACGGAGACACGGCUCUUGCCAUUGAUGACCGUUCCUCUCUUCCAUAAGUGGAGAGACGGAGGAAAGGAAAGCAUUCUGAGUGGC